ACAGCUUUAUGGGAGUAUAAUUUAUGUCCCAUAGCAUUCACCCAUUGUAAGUAGAUAAUUCAAAAAUUUUUGUGAAUGUAUAUAGCAAUGUAACCUUUACCUUAUUUCAGUUUUAGAACAUUUCCAUCACCCCUGAAAUUUCUCUUGUGCACUUUAUAUAGGCCUUCCUGCUUCUACUUUCAGCUCCCAGCAACCAUCGAUUUGCAUUUUCUCUCUACACAUUUUUUUUUUUUUUCUGGACAUUUCAUGUGGGAAGCAGAGAGCAAUUUGAUAAAGAAAAGGAGAAGGCAAUGUGAUGCAGGAUAAGAAGAGAAAAGAUUAUGUGAUGCAGGGCCAUGAGCCAAGGAAUGAGGACAACAUCCUUCCUGGAAAAGACAAAGAAACAGAUUCUCCCCUGGAGCCUCCAGAAGGAGCCAGCCCAGAUGACCCUUUGAUUUUAGCUCACUGAGACUGAUUUCACAUUUCUGACCUCCAGAACUCUAAAAGAAUCAAUUUGUGUACCAAUCCGUCUCCCCGUCUUGUUAGUUUGUGCGAGACCAUCUUUCCAAGACUCUGUUGUGUCCUCUGUAAAAUGGGAAUAAUAAAAUACCUAUUUCACAGA